UACGGAGGGUGCAAGCGUUGUUCGGAAUUACUGGGCGUAAAGAGCGUGUAGGCGGCCUUUUUAUGUCAGGUGUGAAAGCCCUCGGCCUAACCGAGGAAGUGCGCCUGAAACUGAUUUGGCUUGAGUACGAGCGAGGAGAAUGGAAUUCCUAGUGUAGAGGUGAAAUUCGUAGAUAUUAGGAAGAACACCGGUGGCGAAAGCGGUUCUCUGGAUCGAUACUGACGUGAGACGCGAAAGCGUGGGGAGCAAAACAGG
rnacentral:rRNA from 1 species